rnacentral:rRNA from 1 species
UACGUAGGGGGCAAGCGUUGUCCGGAUUUACUGGGCGUAAAGAGCGUGUAGGCGGCCACGCAGGUCCGUUGUGAAAACUGGAGGCUCAACCUCGAGAGGUCGGUGGAAACCAUCUGGCUAGAGUCCGGAAGAGGAGAGUGGAAUUCCCGGUGUAGCGGUGAAAUGCGCAGAUAUCGGGAAGAACACCCGUGGCGAAGGCGGCUCUCUGGGACGGUACUGACGCUGAGACGCGAAAGCGUGGGGAGCGAACAGG